AAGCGGGAAAAGCUCAGACUGAAAAUCUUCGGAAUUGUAGUCUGGAGAAGUAUGGUCAGCCGAUGAUGAUGAGUGAAGUCUUCUGGAAAGGAGCGCCUUGGAGGGUGAUAGCCCCGUUCAUACUUAUCAUUAGAAGCGUACGACCUGCUUUCUACGAGUCGUGUUGUUUGGGACUGCAGCACUAAGUGGGUGGUAAAUUCCAUCUAAAGCUAAAUAUUGGUGGGAGACCGAUAGCGAACAAGUACCGUGAGGGAAAGAUGCAAAGAACUUUGAAAAGAGAGUUAAAUAGUACCUGAAAUUGCUGAAAUGGAACCGAUGGGAAGCAGUGUCGGUGGCGGGUAUUUAUACCUGUCACAAGCCAGGCUUCUUUUCUAGUGCGGGAAAGGCUGAUAAACUAGUUUAGGUUAUCUACGCCGUCGUGCUGGCGAAGGACUCUGACGAAAUGCUUCUCAUCACCCCGUCUUGAAACACGGACCAAGGAGUCUAACAUGUGUGCGAGUGCUCGGGGUCAACCCCCCAGCGCGAAAUAAACGUAAAGGGGAAUUUAUUCCCUUAGGUAGGAUCCUUAGGUGCACUAUCGACCGACCAUGAUCCUCCGGGAGAAAGGUUUGAGUGUGAGCAUACAUGUUGGGACCCGAAAGAUGGUGAACUAUGCUUGAGUAGGGCGAAGCCAGGGGAAACUCUGGUGGAGGUCCGCAGCGAUUCUAACGUGCAAAUUGAUCGUCGAACUUGGGUAUAGGGGCGAAAGACUAAUCGAACCAUCUAGUAGCUGGUUCCUCCCGAAAUUUCCCUUAGGAUAGCUGCAACCGAACAGUUUUAUCAGGUAAAGCGAAUGAUUAGAGGCAUCAGGGGUGGAAUAUCCUUGACCUAUUCUCAAACUUUAAAUGGGUAAGAACCCUGGGUUGCUUAAUUGAACCCGGUGGUCGAAUGACGGUUGCUAGUGGGCCAAUCUGGGUAAGCUAGAUUGGCGAUGCGGGAUGAUCCGAACGUCAAGUUAAAGUGCCAAAGUAUCCGCUAACCUAGAUCCCACAAAAGGUGUUGGUUCAUUAAGACAGCAGGACGGUGGCCAU
rnacentral:rRNA from 1 species